AACGUACGCUGGCGGCACGCCUAACACAUGCAAGUCGAACGAAGUAGCAAUACUUAGUGGCAGACGGGUGAGUAACAUGUAGGUAUCUGCCCUUUGGCCUGGAAUAACACGAGGAAACUUGUGCUAAUACCGGAUAAGUCUUUACGGAGAAAGCUUUAUGCACCAUUGGAUGAGCCUGCACUUGAUUAGUUUGUUGGUGGGGUAAUGGCCUACCAAGACUGUGAUCAAUAGCUGAUUUGAGAGGAUGAUCAGCCACAUUGGGACUGAGACACGGCCCAAACUCCUACGGGAGGCAGCAGUGGGGAAUCUUGCACAAUGGAGGAAACUCUGAUGCAGCGAUGCCGCGUGAGUGAAGAAGGCCCUUGGGUUGUAAAGCUCUUUCGUCGGGGAAGAAAAUGACUGUACCCGAAUAAGAAGGUCCGGCUAACUUCGUGCCAGCAGCCGCGGUAAUACGAAGGGACCUAGCGUAGUUCGGAAUUACUGGGCUUAAAGAGUUCGUAGGUGGUUGAAAAAGUUAGUGGUGAAAUCCCAGAGCUUAACUCUGGAACUGCCAUUAAAACUUUUCAGCUAGAGUAUGAUAGAGGAAAGCAGAAUUUCUAGUGUAGAGGUGAAAUUCGUAGAUAUUAGAAAGAAUACCAAUUGCGAAGGCAGCUUUCUGGAUCAUUACUGACACUGAGGAACGAAAGCAUGGGUAGCGAAGAGGAUUAGAUACCCUCGUAGUCCAUGCCGUAAACGAUGUGUGUUAGACGUUGGAAAUUUAUUUUCAGUGUCGCAGGGAAACCGAUAAACACACCGCCUGGGGAGUACGACCGCAAGGUUAAAACUCAAAUGAAUUGACGGGGACCCGCACAAGUAGUGGAGCAUGUGGUUUAAUUCGAAGAUACGCGCAGAACCUUACCAACACUUGACAUGUUCGUCGCGACUCUAAGAGAUUAGAGUUUUCGGUUCGGCCGGACGAAACACAGGUGCUGCAUGGCUGUCGUCAGCUCGUGUCGUGAGAUGUUGGGUUAAGUCCCGCAACGAGCGCAACCCUCACUUUUAGUUGCCAUCAUUAAGUUGGGCACUCUGAAAGAACUGCCAGUGAUAAGCUGGAGGAAGGUGGGGAUGACGUCAAGUCCUCAUGGCCCUUACGUGUUGGGCUACACACGUGCUACAAUGGUAUCUACAACAGGAAGCAAGACUGCGAAGUUAAGCAAAUCCCUAAAAGAUACCUCAGUUCGGAUUGCACUCUGCAACUCGAGUGCAUGAAGCUGGAAUUACUAGUAAUCGUGGAUCAGCGUGCCACGGUAAAUGCGUUUCCCGGGUCU
rnacentral:rRNA from 1 species